rnacentral:rRNA from 1 species
GACGAACGCUGGCGGCGUGCUUAACACAUGCAAGUCGAACGGAAAGGCCCUGCUUUUGUGGGGUGCUCGAGUGGCGAACGGGUGAGUAACACGUGAGUAACCUGCCCUUGACUUUGGGAUAACUUCAGGAAACUGGGGCUAAUACCGGAUAGGAGCUCCUGCUGCAUGGUGGGGGUUGGAAAGUUUCGGCGGUUGGAGAUGGACUCGCGGCUUAUCAGCUUGUUGGUGGGGUAGUGGCUUACCAAGGCUUUGACGGGUAGCCGGCCUGAGAGGGUGACCGGCCACAUAGGGCCUGGGAUACGACCCGGACUCAUACGGGGGGAAGGGGUGGGGAAUAUUGCACAAUGGGCGGAGGCCUGAUGCAGCAACGCCGCGUGCGGGAGGACGGCCUUCGGGUUGUAAACCGCUUUCGCCUAUGACGAAGCGUGAGUGAGGGUAAUGGGUAAAGAAGCACCGGCUACCUACGU